GUGCGACAGGUGCUGCAUGGCUGUCGUCAGCUCGUGUUGUGAAAUGUUGGGUUAAGUCCCGCAACGAGCGCAACCCUUAUCCUUUGUUACCAGCAAUCAAGGCCGGGAACUCAAAGGAGACUGCCAGUGAUAAACUGGAGGAAGGUGGGGAUGACGUCAAGUCAUCAUGGCCCUUACGACCAGGGCUACACACGUGCUACAAUGGCGCAUACAAAGAGAAGCGACCUCGCGAGAGCAAGCGGACCUCAUAAAGUGCGUCGUAGUCCGGAUUGGAGUCUGCAACUCGACUCCAUGAAGUCGGAAUCGCUAGUAAUCGUGGAUCAGAAUGCCUCGGUGAAUACAUUACCCGGACUUGUACACACC
rnacentral:rRNA from 1 species